GGGCGGGGAGAGAGAGGCCUUUCUCGGGCUGUGUGUGGGCCUGCUGAGGGAGACGCAGCGGCAAGAAGCUGCUGCUGGGGGUCAGGCUUGUAGCUUUUAGUCUUCUAAACACUGAUGGAAAUUCAUUGUUUGGCUGCUGUUUCACGCUGUUAGUUGCGAGUUUGCAUUGAACCGUGAAUAAAACAAAGCAGUGUGUGCAAACGGGCUCAUCCCGCGAAGGAGAAAUAUAGCAGUCACCGGAUUAAGAGUUUCCAGCAAAAUAUUUGAAAUCGUGCCUGUUGUGCUUCCCUUCAAUAGUUCGUGUAUUGGGAGCUGGAUAUUGAACCGUGCAAUUAUCUGAUGUGCCAAGACAAUGUCACGUUUCCGUGGUGCAACACCAAGUGUGACUAGCUGCUCCUACUAACAGCAGGACUGAAACUCCAGACCUAGGACAAAGACUCGGGGCAGGCAGAAUUCAGGCCCAUCGCAGUAUUUCGUCAACCAUUCACCGGAUCAUGCGGGGAGAGGGCCACAGCCACCCCUCUUGAAGAUGCAGUUACAUCAUUAAUCUUUAUCUCAGAUUGGAAAGAGAGAUUGAUGACACUCUGAUUCUCACAGUGGAAUACACUAUUAUACGUUUUGUUACAGUGAUCCAAUGCAACUGGAUCACUGUGCCUUUCCCCUUAUCCUAUACAACCAAUCCUUUGAAACUCCUAACUGAAGCUGGACCCUCUAUUAGCCAGGCCAAGGUUCACCACAAUGUCUGUUAAACAUUAUCAGACAGUGUAAUCACCAGGCCAUGGGAUCUUUCCAUACAUCUAUCAAUUCGCUUUAAAAAGUUACUGGCCGUACACCUUCAGUCAUGCCCCAGAAUCGCUUACCUAUCAGGCUAGCUUGAAUUCUGCUGUCAAUUGUAUUAAUUUUGUGUCUCUAUUAAAUUCUGUUACUCCUCUUAUUUUCCCACUGUCUGAAUUAUAAUAAAACAGACAGUUGACUCCUACUAGGAGGCCAGGCCGCAUCAGAGUAGCAAGAAAGUUGAUGCUUCUGAAGAAGAAUCCUGACCCACAACUUAAACUUUCCUGCACCUCUGAUGCUGCCUGGCCUGCUGUGUUCCUCCAGCUCCACAUUGUGUUAUCUCUAACUGCAGCAUUGGCAGGGCUUACUAUUGCUGAGUUUAUUCUUACAAGUUGCUAUAAGAUUCAUGAUAUUAAUUGUAUUAUAAAGUGAGUUAUAUGUAACGCUUUAUGCAUACCCAUACUCUUAGCUCUGUUAUAGCUAAUGAAUUGUGAGCCAUUUGCUUCUUACAGGAUGCACCAGGCAUUCCUUUAGUGACAUAGGAAACCUUCUGGAGACGAAUUUAACUUUCAUACCCAUGUUUGAAUCUUCUCCCCUGAUGCUUUUAGUGAUAUUUGUAUUUUAUUUUAUAUAUAUAGAUUUAGAAUUACAUUGAAAUCUAUCUGAAGGAUCUUUAACUGGAACCAAUUUCUUAAUAUUGUGAAUAUUGCUGCAAGAUGGAGUUAUCUGCUGUUUUCAUGAUGAGCUAGGCCAGCUGUCUUUGGGAUGAUUGACACCCCUUGUCCUAACUAACUAUAUUCAUCUAAUGGGACAACAUCCUUUCAUUAAAGGGACUGAAAUCAAUUGCUUAUCAAUUUUAAUGAACUUGUUUGAUUCUGUAGAUUUUUUUUAUGAGCCAUAAUCCCAUGAGUUCAACUGUUUGUUUAUUGCAGAACUUACUGUCCCCUUCAAUCUUUGUUGCAAACCUUCAAACUGUCUCCAACAAAUCUUGCAGCUGUUGUUUGUGCAAUGCUCCCUUUUGCCUCGGAAUAACCUCUUCUCAAAAGUACCAUUGUGUCUUUGUUAAAUGCUGGAGCAGGCUUUUUUCAUUCGUUCUGUUUAACCACGUGUCAGUCAUAUGCAGCAGGGCUAGAGGAACAGCUUAGCUGCCAGCCAUUCGGUGUCUCUUAGACUUGGGCAGCCCGAACAUUGCUCAUUCAAUUCUGAGAGAGCUGGAGACAGGGAGUUAUUAACAUGACCUGGGAAAGAGCUCUAUUAUCGCUCCACAAAGGGCCGAUGCCUCAGCUUGAAGCAUUAUCUGCCCUUUUCCCCACAGCCGCAGUUGCUUUCUUCACAGUGGGAGAGAAGGGAAUUAGGGAAUGACCCAUUGAUGUUUGUUGUUGGGAAUUAUUGGGAAAAGCAGUCCAUGCCAUUGGUGGCCCUGCCCCAAAUGCUGCUUGUUUGGCUACUGUUUCACACUGUUUAUCGUCAUUGUGCAAAGAAUAGUGGAAACACAGGCAAGAUGGUGGAAAUAUAAGAAUCCUGUAAAGGACGCAGAUUGGAGUCAACAGAUUAUAUGUCUCGAGCAAAAACAUUCGAAAUAGUGUCUGUUGUUCUUCUUUACAACAGUUAGUGUGUUGGGAUCUGGUGACACAAACUGUGUCAAUAUUACAGCAUCCUCAGGUAGCACCUUUAGAUGCAGCUGUGCAAUUGUUCAGUUUCUGGACCUCGCUGAGUUAGACCUGUGUUUGAAUUGAUGGCUUCAAAGAAAAGGCAGAAGUCUCAUGAUUUGUGUUAUAGUCCAAUAGGUUUAUUUUAAAAUCUCAAGCUUUUGGAGCUCUGCUACAUUGUCAGGUGAAGUUGAAGAAAAGAAACAUCCUAAUAAUUAUCAACUGAAUGUACGUUAAUCUGUUUGAGAUUGUCAAACUUGGCUGAUGCUGAUUUACAGAAUGUUUCUCUUCUGUUUUCAUCCAGGCAAAUACAUGAAGGACCAAGACAGUGUAUCAUUUCUUUGGUGCAAAGCCAAGUGUGAGCAGCUGCUUCUCACAAACAGCAGACAAACACUUGAAGGAACAAGACAAUGUAUCAUUUCUUCAGUACAAAGCUCCUCCUAACAAACAGCAGAUAUGUUCCCACUAUCACAGCAUGAGAACAUCCUUUCCCCAGUCACGGAGCAGAUUGAAUCAGACACACGUUGAGCUUUAAUUUCCAGUCAGACACGUCAAAGCCGACAAUAAAACAAGACAGAGGAAUGCCACUUUAUUUUGCUUCUCUCUCCAUUCAAAAUACCCAGUUUGAACAGGUUUCACCUAAAAUAACCCAUUGACAUUUACACCAGUUUUGAAGAUUGGUAGACUGAAUCCUUGUCCAAAGUAUACCAUCAGGAAUUGAAGGAAAUCUGCAUAGAAUUACUCAAAUAUCAACUUCACAUAAUGAAUCACACGUCCACCGAUAAUAUUAUUGGCUGCCUGACAACUGAUCCACUUUUAGGAGUAGUACUACCUAAACUCAAGCAUUCAUAUUGCAGGGUCAGACAGGAAAAAAAUGGUAUUUGACCAUAUUAAUACUUCAGAAACUGCAAGUAAAAGGUUGAUGAAAAAUGUUCACAUAGUCACAUAAUAGAAACUAUUAUGCACAUAUUCAUUGCUGUACUCGCAUUCACAGAGACUGAAACUGGCAGGAAUAUAUUGAUGAUAACACUCCCAAUUUCACAGAGCAAAGUGACAGCUACAAACUUAGAACUGCAAUCACAAAUCGACAGACAGACAGGCACGGAUUGCUGACUGUACUCAAAUAUUCAGAGUAGGUUCUCACAGGUACAUCUUGGUAACAGGACUUGCAAAUUGACAGAGAAGCAAAUGAUAGGUGCACAUUGCUUUCACGCACAUAUCCAAUGGACGAACUUGACAGGAACAGAUUGAUAACAACCUUGGACAUAGCAAGAACUGCAAAUUCUGGAAUCAGCCUUCCCAGUUAUACGCAGCAUAAACUAACUGACAUGUACAGUUUGAUAAUUACUCUCAUUCACAGAGCGGAAUCUGAAACGUCCUUAUUGAUAACUGCACUCACAUGGCCACCAAGCAGAAACUGACAGAGUUUGAUCACAGUGACAGUCAAAUUGUGGAAAUUGACAGAUACAUGUUGAUAAUCGCUUUCACUGAAAUGUCAGGGUCAGUUCAUUAAAUAUGCUGCUGUUGA